GAUGAACGCUGGCGGCGUGCUUAACACAUGCAAGUCGAACGAAGCACCUUGAUUCGAUUCUUAGGAUGAAGAUCUUGGUGACUGAGUGGCGGACGGGUGAGUAACGCGUGGGUAACCUGCCUCAUACAGGGGGAUAACAGUUAGAAAUGACUGCUAAUACCGCAUAAGACCACAGCACCGCAUGGUGCAGGGGUAAAAACUCCGGUGGUAUGAGAUGGACCCGCGUCUGAUUAGGUAGUUGGUGGGGUAACGGCCUACCAAGCCGACGAUCAGUAGCCGACCUGAGAGGGUGACCGGCCACAUUGGGACUGAGACACGGCCCAAACUCCUACGGGAGGCAGCAGUGGGGAAUAUUGCACAAUGGGGGAAACCCUGAUGCAGCGACGCCGCGUGAGCGAUGAAGUAUUUCGGUAUGUAAAGCUCUAUCAGCAGGGAAGAAAAUGACGGUACCUGACUAAGAAGCACCGGCUAAAUACGUG
rnacentral:rRNA from 1 species